rnacentral:rRNA from 1 species
AUUGAACGCUGGCGGCAGGCCUAACACAUGCAAGUCGAACGAGUGGCGUACGGGUGAGUAAUGUCUGGGCCACUUACUGAUGGAUAGGGAUAACUAAUGGAAACUGUAGCUAAUACCGCCUAACAUCGCUUGUGCCCAGAUGGGAGUUGCUAGUUGGUGGGGGAAAGGCUCACCUAGGCGACGAUCCCUAGCUGGUCUGAGAGGAUGACCAGCCACACUGGAACUGAGACACGGUCCAGACUCCUACGGGAGGCAGCAGUGGGGAAUAUUGCACAAGGGGCGAAAGCCUGAUGCAGCCAUGCCGCGUGUAUGAAGAAGGCCUUCGGGUUGUAAAGUACUUUCAGCGGGGAGGCGGUACCCGCAGAAGAAGCACCGGCUAACUCCGUGCCAGCAGCCGCGGUAAUUC